AAAGGGAGACCUAAUUCAGGUAUGGGACGAAAAAAAGUAGUCGCUACCAAGAAUCAAUCCCAAAAGGUCGGAGCGAGGCAUGAGGCUUUCAAACUAGGUUCUGGGUUCAUAAAAGACCUGAAUCAGGAACAAGGGCUAUUAGCUCAGGUGGUUAGAGCGCACCCCUGAUAAGGGUGAGGUCCCUGGUUCGAGUCCAGGAUGGCCCACCUGUACAGGUGGCAAAAACAAAGAAAAGAAGCGAGGAAUCAGCACCUUAUCUUACUUAUAUAGUAAGAGAGAAUGCUGGCUCUGAGUACAGAGUCCAGAGGAACCUUGAAAACUGCAUAGAGCUAGGUGAAAAAGCCAAAAAAGAAGACCGCAAG
rnacentral:tRNA from 1 species